UCCUUUGGAACGCUGAAUUCCUUCUGUAGAGUCAAGCAGAAGGGAACGGGGGACCCAAUUUUUGGGGUGAAUCCCCUUCUGAAUUGAUUUUUGAGUAAGAAGGGGUAGGGUCACCUCACGACCCGAACCCGUCAGCUAACCUCGUAAGCGUGGUAGAGGGAGGUA
rnacentral:sRNA from 2 species